rnacentral:rRNA from 1 species
AUGUUUCCUUUCAAGUUUAAGAGGAAGCAAUUUCCUAUAAGGCUUAGCUUUGCUAUGACGAUUAACAAGGCUCAAGGGCAGACCAUCCCCAUUAUUGGUGUGUAUCUAUCUAAUCUAGUGUUCUCUCAUGGUCAACUCUAUGUUGCUUUGUCUCGAGCCAUCGUGAAGAGAAACAUUAAAAUACUUAUUCAGAAGGAGAAGCCAAAGGAUAAGGCCAACAAGCAACAUAACAACCUGAAGAAGCGUAAAAGACCGACCGUUUCCUUGCUGACUUCAAUGAAGAACAUCGUCUACAAGGAAGUACUUACAGGAUGA